CAUGUGUAUGGGUGAGUAUACCAUCUAGAACCGCAAUUGGAAUUUUAAAAGCCUAAAUAUUGUAUCCUUGUUAGAGGAUACAAAGACAAACACUCAUACGGACUUUGGCUACACCAUCAAAGCUUUGAGAAGCAAGAAGAAGCUUGGAUAGUGUUUUCGAGUCGAAUAUGACUAGAUGUGAUGUGUAUGAUUGAGUAUAAGAAAUUAAACCGCAACCGGAUCUUAAAAGCCUAAGUAGUGUUUCCUUGUUAGAAGAUACAAAGGCAAAGCCUCAUACAGACUUUAGGUAUACCAUCAAAGCCUUGAGAAGCAAGAAGAAGCUUGGUUAGUGUUUUGGAGUCAAAUAUUACUAGAUGUCAUGUGUAUGAGUGAGUCAGACAACUAGAACCAUAACCGGAUCUUAAAAACCUAAGUACUGAAUCUUUAUUAGAAGAUAUAAAGACAAAGACUCAUACGGACUUCGACUACACUAACAAAGCUUUGAGAAGCAAGAAGAAGCUUUGUUAGUGUUUUGGAU
rnacentral:sRNA from 1 species